AGUUCUGUAGUCGGGUAGUAGGAGGAGAGCGUUGCUUCUACUUAAGAAGCCGGCAGGCAUCGGGGUGAGUUAGAUGGCCUAGGCAAUCUGCCUGGGUCAGUGGGGGGGAUAUACGUUCGGCAAACGGACGCUAUAUACCGCAUACGUCCUCACGGGAGAAAGCAGGGGACCUUCGGGCCUUGCGCUAUCAGAUGAGCCUAGGUCGGCAUUAGCUAGUUGGUGUAGGUAUAUGGCUCACCAAGGCGACGCCUCCCCCUCACCCCGCGCUCCUGAGUAGGAUGAUCAGUCCACACUGGAACUGAGACACGGUCCAGACUCCUACGGGAGGCAGCAGUGGGGAAUAUUGGACAAUGGGCGAAAGCCUGAUCCAGCCAUGCCGCGUGUGUGCAGAAGUUCUUCGGUAUUGUCAAAGCCACUUUCAAGUUGGGCAGAAAGGUUGUAUUAUUAUUACUCCUGCUAAUUUUGAGUUUCCGUACGGACAUCAGCCCGGCGUUUCAUCAUUGUUUUAAU
rnacentral:rRNA from 1 species